rnacentral:rRNA from 1 species
CAAUAGCGUAUAUUAAAGUUGUUGCAGUUAAAAAGCUCGUAGUUGGAUUUCUGGAUGGAGCGACCGGUCGGGCAUUAAUUUGUCUGCACUGGAGUCGGUUCCGUCCAUCCUCUUGGAAAGUGCGUCGGGCAUUAAGUUGUUUGGCGUAUGAUCCAAGUCGUUUACUGUGAAAAAAUUAGAGUGCUUAAAGCAGGCCUUCGCCUUGAAUACAUUAGCAUGGAAUAAUAAGAUAGGACUUUGGUCUAUUUUGUUGGUUUGCAGACCGAAGUAAUGAUUAAUAGGGAUAGUUGGGGGUAUUUAUAUUCCGAUGUCAGAGGUGAAAUUCUUAGAUUUUCGGAAGAUAAACUUAUGCGAAAGCAUUUACCAAGGAUGUUUUCAUUAA